UGUAAUCAGUUAUUACUUAAUUUACACAUGCAAGUCUCCGCACCCCCGUGAAAACGCCCUUUAAUCCCCGAUAGGGACAAGGAGCUGGUAUCAGGCACAAUUCUUAGCCCAAGACACCUAGCUAUGCCACACCCACACGGGAAUUCAGCAGUGAUUAACAUUGAAAAUAAGCGACAGCUUGACUCAGUCAAAGUAAAAAGAGCCGGCUAAUCUGGUGCCAGCCGCCGCGGUUACACCACGUGGCUCAAAUUGAUUUCUUUCGGCGUAAAGCGUGAUUAAAGUCAUUAAUAAAUUAUAGCCAAACUAAAACUAAGCUGUGACACGCUUGUACUUAGGAAGGUCAAAACGAAAGUUGCUAUAAUAAACACU
rnacentral:rRNA from 1 species